GUUGAAGUUCUCAGUUUGAAGGAUUUACCCAGCAAAAAACUUGAGGAAAUAACAGGUGCUGCAUAAGUUACCCUACCUGCCUGCAUGAUGUUGGAGUUUUGGGCUCCUAAGAACUGGAGUCAUGGAGGCCAUCAAACUGGUUCAGGUAAGAGAGGGAUAUAUUAUCUGUGAAAGUCUGGCCGUCACAUAAAUUAAUCUGCCUUUGAAAAGUGACACCAAAUGUUAUCAACAAAGCUAAAAGUGUGGGUGGAUCUAUUUCCACUUCAAGUGUUGCCUUUUAAUCACAAAUGCCAUUCAGCUGUGCAUUGAGUUUAAGCUCUGUGCAAAUCCCUCAGAUGUACGAGAACUACAGUUUGUUUAAAGUGAAAUCCCUGAGAACUCUAUGAGGUGGAAAUCUCUGCAGAACUUUGCUCCAAAUUCAUUUAGUGCUGUGGAAAACACCCCUAUGUCUGAGCAGCAGUCAGCAAAUAUGGAACAAAUGGCCUGGGAUUCUUAUCUUUCAAACCCUAGCAGCUCACACAGACCAUAAAGAUAUCAUGGACUCCAGGAGGAGAGCACAGCUGAUAUGCAAAGGUGGAGGGGAAGCAGGGAACUUAACAGAAGAGAAGAAUGAACACUACAAACUCCUUAUCAUCCAAUGUUAACUUCACAUUCUUACCUAGCAUAUUGAAGAAAUGGACAGAGUCAUCAUUCUAACUUUCCCUAGGGAAACACAGAAGCUGUUUCCAGCAUGUUGAAUCUGGGCUGGUUCCAGACUGUCCCAGAUCUUGUAGAACAGUUUGUGUUAACAUUGCCAAAAAGUGGCAGUUUCCAAAGCCAGGAGAUGCCAAGCACUGAGACCACACAUAUGAACUCUUUAUUCAUUGCUGUUUGUGUUGAUCUUCAAUAAAAAGAAAAGAAGCUAAGAUAAAAUUGAAUACAAGAGAGGUUUUGAUGUUGCCUAUAAUAAAGCCAUUUCAUUUGGUAUUGAUGGGUCAUCAGUGAAUUAGAGAAGGAGUACAAAAAAUGCACAACUGGUCUUGCAGUUUACUGUUCUAGUGCUGACAGACACCUUGAAGUACAGAAGAGCCAAAAAUCUACUUAAUACACCUAACAGCAUCUAAUAACAAUGGGCUAUGUAGCAUGAUCCCAAGUUCUUAUUUGUCAACUGAAUGAGACAGUCUUUCUCUGAUUCUACCUCCAGGAAACUUCUACUUGGACGACUUUCAGUUCUGAUGGUUAGGCUGCCUUCUCUAUUUUUUGCCACUUUAUUUGUGACUAGGUUGCACCCAUCUGUCAUUAUGUUACUUUCUGUUUAAGUAAUUCUUCUCCCUGUGGUGUUGCAGACAUUUCCCAUGCUUGUGACAUGGCUUCUCUGUCCUCCUGGUCAUCCUGCCAUUUGUUCUAAAUGUUAUGUGCACAACGUAGAAAUCCUAAGUGCAAAGUGCUGACUAGAAAGGGUUAGAGCAGGCUGGAACAAGUUAGGAGAGAGGUACAGCAAGGUGUAUUAUACCAGAACAACAGCACUGAUGAUUGCCAGGCUAUCUGUCAAUAUCCAGCCGUCUCUCUCUUUCUUUUGGUAGGCAUGUAAAUGCAUCCUGGAGCUGCAUUGGCAUGCAUCACCCUGGCUUCUCAUGGUCAGCCAGUGAUUACUUGGCUCUUCCAAGACAUAACACUUUUCUGUGUGUUUCCAACAGAUAAGAGUGUAUGUAUAGAAAAAAAAUAAAAUAAAAUAAAAUAAAAUAAAAAUCAGUUUUGUUUCACUUUAUAUAAGACAAUUGCCAAAAUCUUUCCUUUAUUUUUUUUUUUUUUCUUCUCCCCAUGUUCUUCAUUAUUGGCAAGCUGUUUUUACAACUCCUCUAAUGUCAGGGAUCCAAAAUUCUGUAGUGUGUGUUUAAUCAAUGUAAUCCUUGCUUCUGAAUGGCUUUUCUCUAUGAACAUCCAUGUGCCUUUCAAAUGUUUUUUAGAAGAAUGAAUUAUGUUAGUUUUCCAGCUAGUCAAAAGUACUGAAUCCUUUAGACUUCUGCUCCUGAAGUCUGAGUAUAGCAGCUGAUCUAUAAAGUAAUGUUUGUCUUUUCCCUCUUGUCUCUUGCUAUUUUUUGUUGUGGUCUGUUGGCAGGUUUUCCAAAUCAAUUUUGAAAAGAAUGUAAGACAGGACUUAUUAAAAGAUAAUAUUAAAUAUCCCCCACUUUAGCUUUGAUAGCCUUUCAAAGAAAAAAAAAAAAAAAGGAAAAAAAAAAUGUAAGCAUAACUAGAUUCCUUUGCUUGGUACCAAUUCUGCUUUCCUUGCCUGGGUCUUCUGAAAGAAGAAAUGACAGAAAAGUGUUACUUUUGCACCUAUUUCAGUGGCAUGAAAAUUUGACAUUGCCAUCAGACUGCAAAGAGAGAAAGAGAUACCACAAAUAUGUGUACCUCAGCAGCUGUCUCCCUUCUGGUUCUUCUCCUUGAAGAACUUAGUCUGUGUUGACAAGACAUUAAGUGUUACUAUAUGUUACAUAAAUAUAUGAUCUAGAAUGGAUAGGUUAAAUUAGUCAUGAACAAAUUAACUAGAAUCAAAUAAAUAGACCAGGGUAGAUUGAAUUAUUUAAAGAGAGAUUAGGUUAGGAGUACUGGAUUAGGUGGAAUGGAUAUCUCUAAGAACUAUGUUCAGGUAAUUUGAAGGACAUUCAACUGUUCUUGGUUAGCAAAAAGAAAUCCUUAACUCUGAGUCUCUAAGGUGGUAUAGCCAUGUUAAUGUUAAACACUAAUGAGAUCCUGUAAUACACAAAGGGGUGGCAUUUCCAUUAAGGGGGGGCUGUUAAAGAUGCUUUAGAUAAGUAAAAGCUUAUCUGAAAUACGGGUACUAUAAUUGUCAUUCAAAAAACAAAUUCAGACUGGAAAAAAUAAAGAGAAAAAUAAGUAUGGAUAUGAGGGAAAUUCUAAGUCCUGUUUAUAUAGAAGCUAGAAUUGGCUUUCAUUCACCGUAAUAGGUAAAGUACAUAUCAACCAGCAGCAAUAUCAACCUUUUAAAAAUACUUCUCUUAUAUAUGACAAUGACAGAGGCUUUCUUAGGGCAACUGAGAAACUCAGCCUAAUAUUCUUGAUAUAUUUAAUUGAAAAAACAGGCAUAUUUUUCCAUAGUGAUGAGAUAAUAGUCACAUAAUUUAGAAUAGACAUAUGCUGAAAUACAAUAAAAACUUGUUGGAGGAGGGAAUCAAGAUAUGGCCCAGGUUAAACAGAAGAUACUCAACACCUUGCAGAGCUAAACACGCUAUCGCAAUCUCUACCAUGGGUCAUAUCUGUGUUCUUUUCCUAACUCUUUUUUGUCAUGUUUUUUUCAGUUUUCUUUGUUGGCCAUUUUCAUCAGUCAUACUCCUAACAAAAAGAAUGGCAUUUUUUAUUUAUGUACUAUUUCUGAUUUUUUCCCUGGAGUUAAUUUCCUAGACUCAGAAAUGUUAAUGAAUUUUUCUAAUUAAGAAAAAUCAAACAAACCUGGCAGAAAUAAGGUCAAUAGAUAUGUUAUACCAUGA